rnacentral:rRNA from 1 species
UACGAACCGUGCGAACGUUAUUCGGAAUCACUGGGCUUAAAGGGUGCGUAGGCUGCGAGGUGGGUAGGGUGUGAAAUCCCUCGGCCUAACCGAGGAAUUGCGCUCCAAACCGCCUUGCUGGAGUGAGACAGAGGUGAGCGGAACUAAUGGUGGAGCGGUGAAAUGCGUUGAUAUCAUUAGGAACACCAGAGGCGAAGGCGGCUCACUGGGUCUCAACUGACGCUGAUGCACGAAAGCUAGGGUAGCGAACGGG